rnacentral:lncRNA from 1 species
UCUCUACUACCUUUCUUGCUUCUGAUAUUCCUUUUAGGGGAUUUGGUCUAUUUUUGCUCUACGUAUUUGGAGUUUCUAGCCGGAGAAACUCUAGGGAACGAGAAAUUCGUAGAAAUGAAGAGUCGGAUAAUUCUUCUCUUGUUUCUCUAAUUCCUGAACUAACAGAGAGAGUGAGAUUAAAUUCCUUUCCCGGAAUUUCAGAUCCAAUUUUUUUUUUUCAUACAUUAUUUCUUUAAUUGUUUUUCUUUCUCCUUUUUUGAUCCAUUUCUUUUCCCCUAAAUUUUUGUUGCCACCACAAAAUUGCUAAACUGCUGUAGGCAGUUUUUCUUAAAAAAAAAUUAAAAAUUCUUUCUCAUCCUUGCUUGUUCAGAUGGGCUUGAAGUUCUAUCAUUUUCUUUUUAUGAUAAUUUUAAUCACUAACUAUUGUUAUCAUUAUUAUUUUUAAAUUUUGGAGAACUAAAAAGGUCAAAUUAUUAUUUUUUGACCAAUACAAUAUAAAACAUCAAAAAGUUUUGAUAUACGUGAUUGCCUAUACAUCUCUUUUAGAGCUAUCUUGGUCUUCCUUUCAUUUUCUUAUUAAUUUCAAAAUGGACCAAAAUUAUAUAUAACUAAUCACAACUCUAUGUCUCUCCAAAUUGAUAUAUUCUUAUUUUAUUAUAUAAAAAUUAACUUCUUGUAAAAAAUAAUUAAAUAUUAGUUCAUAAAAUUUUAUUAUAUAUAUAAAUAUUAUUUUAACUGCUGUUAUUUAAAAAUUAUUUAAUGAUUGAAUGCUUCAUUUAUUUUAAAUUAUAUCAAAUUUUAAGCCUACAAGAUUUAGCAUUAUGAUUUUUCUAAAACAAAACUUAGAAAUGGAUAAAAUAAUUAAUUGAAUUGAAAUCACAAUAGAAAUUAAUUAUUUUAUAUUAUUUGAGUUAUAUUCACUAUUAACUAUAACAUUUAUAAUUUUUUCAAUUUGAUAUUUAAUCUUUUAAAUCUCAUAAAUAUUCUCAAUGGCAUUAUGUAAAAAACAAGAUUAAAAAUUUACAUUAAAAUUAUUUUAUGGAUUUUCCUAUUAAAUGUAUGUUGUAUGUAUACGUAACAUCCAUAUAAUAUUUUGGUAUAUUAUAAUAUUUAAUAUUUUACUAAAUUGAGAAAAUACGAUAUUUGGAUACAUUCUUACAAAUAUUUAAAAUUAUGUCACUAUAUUUAAUGAUUAUCUGUCAUAUAGUCUAUUCCAGUGAUGUAUUAACUUGUCUGUUAUACUAAUAAAAAAACAACUUAAUAAUAUAUAAACUCUUAAUGGAAAAAUUUUAGUUUUAAUUUAAUUUAUAUUUUUUUGUUCAAUGAAAUGUCCUUGUUAAAAAUGUAAUGAAAUUGAGCCAUGAUGAUCUAUUUUGUUUGUUUUUCUCAAAGUUAAUUAAAGGCUAAAAACUUUAAAGUUUCUGUAGAACACAUUGGGUAUUUAAUUUGCAAACAUGGGCCAGGUAGGCCCCGUGACCUCUGGCCGAUUUCAAAACUUAUCUAAUCGUUUCACGUUAGAUCUGACUUUUUCUACCCUCCAUGUUUUAUUUAUUUUAAUUAAUGAAACAAUAUAUAUAUAAUAUUCAAACAAAAUUAGUAUGGCUGGGAGAGUCUAGCAAGGAAUAUAUUAUUUUCUUCACUUUAGAAAUAAAGAGAGAGAAAAUAAUUUUUUAUCCAUCAUUAUUUUCUUACUUUUAUAUAGGAGAUUAGUUGAAUGUCAAGGCAUUGGUCUUCUCUCCAUCAUGUCAUUUUUUUAUAUUUUGUUUUAUGUAAAAUGCUUUUUAAAUUCGAUUUCCUUAUCAAUGAAUUAUUGGACUCUAGUUGAUAUUUUUAAUUCAUAUUCACCUGUUAUGUUGGAGUGUAUUGUUAUCAAUUAUUAAGUUUAGAACUAUAGGUAGAUUUCGAAGCAUAUGUUUUUUGGACUAAACAAUAAAUGUUUUUCAUUUGUUCUUAAUUUUCAAUGUCACUCCUAAUUGUAGUGUAAAUGCUUAAUCUGUUUUCCAUAAAAACCUUAAAAGGUCUUCUUAAAGUUUUUUUUUGAGUUAUGAAAAUAAAAGUUGACCUUAGUGUAGGAAAAUUAAAAGCAUAUCUAAUACUACUACAGUAUGUAGUGUUCUGAAACCACGUGCAUUUAAAUUCUAGGUUUUUGUUCUUGUUUCCGGUAAAUUAUAGGGUUCUUAAUUAGAGUGACAUGUAACAUGUGGAAUAAUGAUAAAGAAAACAGUGAUUAAAGUCGAGGUAAAAUGAAAACCAUUUUAUAUAAUCGAUCCCUAGACCACUUGGUUUGCAAUUGUUCCAAAAUACUUCUCAUAAAUGAGCAUUAACUAUUAAGCUCUGAGUUUGGUGAAAAUCCAACAGCCCAGCUGGCUCAAGAAUUCCACUAGCCAGUCACCAGUGGGUUUUAGUUGAGUAGUAUUAAGUCCUCUGGAAUUUGAACACCGCCAACUUCUGCAGUAUUAAUUGACUGACACGUUUCUUUUAACAACUUGUCUGAAUAACCUUAUCUUUAUAGCUGCAUUAAUGUCUGUUUAUUGACUUGAUUAGGCUUUUGAUAUUACGAGUUGAUUUGUAGGCUUUGACCUGACUCGUAGCUCCAUUGGAGGAUUGAAUUUUGAUAAUUUUUGUUUUCUUGUUUUGUUCUAUUAUUUGAUCUUUUUUAAUGUUUCAACGUUCAAGUGGUGGGAUAUGGAAAAUUAAAUCAGCAGUUGAAAUAACUUCCUUCCGAUUCCAUGUCAUUGUUAUCACCUAUUAUCUGGUCUACGUUUAUUUGUCCAGUUAAUUGUUAAUCUACUUUUGUAUCAAAACAUUCAUAACAAUUCCAAAACGUUGACUAUACUCUAUUCCAAUGACGGGCAAUUUAUAAGCUCACCAUUUUAUGAGGGGAAAAAACCUCUCUUUUUGAUUGGGUGAACCGAAUAAAAUAACUUGUAUGCGAUUCUUUGAUUCUGAACUAAGAUAAUUACAACCCUUCUUGGAUCUGGAUAUUGAUGCAUUUUACCAAAUGGUUUGUGUGUACAGUAAAAACCCUUCAAACAAUAUCUUCAAAACUAGAGAACUUAAGCUGGAAUGUAACCCGGAGUUCUUGCAUUCGAGGUGAAGGCUUUUCCAAUCAAGCUUUUCAGGGGAACCAAAUCUUGAGGAAUAUCUCAUGCAAUUGUACUUCCACUCUUUGUCAUGUGACAAUUGUGUAAGAAACUUGUUGCUUUUCGCCAUUGAUGUGCUUCUUAUUUUAUUCCUUUACUCACUUUUGGGCAUCCCAUUUCAAAAGUUUGCAGUAAUAUUUUUUCUGCUCUGAGUGCUCUCUGGUCCGCUCAAGUCUUAGUUACCAUUUAAGAGAAAUGAAUUUCCCAGCAUAUAGUUUAGAUUUCCAUUUUACAUAAGUUACGGGUAGACAGAAAGUUGGGAAUCAAACCAUGGUAAAGAAGAGUUUCCACAAGUUUCAUAAAUUUUUAAUAAUCUCAUCUUAAUUGUUCAUUAAUCCUUGAUCCCGAUUAUUGGUAAACCAACUGUUCAAAAUGGAUUUCUGUUUAAAAUUAAUUAUCAGAGUUGGAAGUACUAGAACUAAAUUGUAUUAUUCUGGAAACAAUAUCAUUUUUUUUACGCUUACAAAUUAUUUAUAAACUAGAUAUUAUUUUAUAGCAGAUUAAAAAUUAGGUAAUAAUUGAUAUUAGAUAUUAGUGAUCGCCAAUGCUUGUAGAAAAUCAGCUAUGAACAACAGUUAAUCUAUAAUCGGUAUUAAUUUCAAGGUACAUUAUUUUCCUUAUCUGGUUUUAUUGUCUAGGUUAACUGGAGAUUUGAUAUCUUAUUUUUUGUUAUUUAACAGCCUGCUUAAGGGUCUCAAUCUAACAGGAACUUUUCCAGCUGAAUUUGGUAAUCUUACUCAUCUGCAGGAACUGUAAGUGCUGGAAACCAUCUUUCUUUAUUGUAUUAAAUACAAACGUUCAAAUAUUCCACUGACAUUUGUAAGACUGGCACUCCUUUGACGGGUGAUUGCAAGUUGAAGUAUAGAAUUCUGAGCGAAGUUUUUCUGAUUAAACAGUGAUCUUACUCGCAACCAUAUUAAUGGCCAGCUACCCAGUAGCCUUGCCAAUGCUCCUCUUGUCAAACUGUAAGUCAAAUUUUGGAUCUGAUUGGAUUUCCUUUGGCAUUCUUUGUAGCUCAUGAUCACCAAAUAAUUGAUAAGUUUGUUAUAUGUCUGCCGGUACCAUGCAGUUCUCUCUUGGGAAACAGGCUAAACGGUUCAAUUCCCAAGGAAAUUGGUGAAAUUGGCACCCUCGAAGAGCUGUAAGUGAUGAAAAAGUAUGUUUUGUGUAAUUGAGUUAAGAUUUGAUGACACUUGAGUUGCAGGAUCUUGGAAGACAACCAGCUAACUGGAAGUCUACCGGCCAGCCUUGGAAAUCUGAACAGUUUGAGAAGACUGUGAGUUGCUUGUCCUUUAACUCUUUUUUUUUUUCUUUCCUGGGGAGGAAAUUGCCAUCUUCAAACUAUGUAUCAGCUGUUUCUUACCUCUGUAGGCUUCUGUCUGCAAACAACUUCACAGGAAAAAUACCAGACUCAUUUGGAAAGUUAACGAACUUGGUUGAUUUGUAAGUAACCCAUGUGAAAAAAAUUAGCGUUUCAUUUUUUCCAUAUCACUCUACAAUUUCUGAGUUUUGAACUAAUGUCUGCAGUAGAGUAGAUGGGAAUGGACUGUCUGGAAAGAUUCCUGAAUUUAUUGGGAAUUGGAUCAACCUUGAUAGACUGUGAGUAAAUCUCAUAUCUACUUUGCAAUAGCUGACCCGCAUUAGAUAUCCAAUGUGCACUUGUGCAGCUAUAACCCGUUAUCAAGAGAUUCUUGAAACAUUUCUUUUGCCAGGGAUAUGCAAGGAACAUCGAUGGAAAAUCCCAUUCCUUCUACAAUAUCUCAAUUGAAGAACCUGACUCAAUUGUGAGAAUCUGUAAGCCUCUAGUUAGCACAUGGAUUACUCUAAUUGUGUUGACUUUUUUGUUCCUGCGUGCAACUUGUUUGACAGGAGGAUAUCUGACUUGAAGGGAUCCUUUAUAAGUUUCCCCAAUUUGACAGAUAUGAUAAACAUGAAAGAAUUGUAAGUUGAAUGUAACUUAGUUUGUUGUCUAUAUCUCAAAAAAGUGCACUUUUUAAUUCCAUUUCAAUCCACAUUUUCCUUUUCAUGCAGGGUCCUGAGGAACUGUUUAAUUAACGGUUCAAUCCCUGAGUAUAUUGGAGAAAUGAACAAAUUAUCUACCCUGUAAGUUCUUGGUGACCGAUUCUUAUGUACGCUGACAAGUACAUCGUACUUUUUUUCCCUUCUAAUUUUCAACUUUUCACCCAUUAGUCAGAUAAUUCCCCAAUUUUCACCUUAGAGUUUUCAGUUUCAUUAAAUUGAACCCUAAACUUGAAUAAGCAGUAAAGUUGAUAACUUGAUACUUUAUUGAUACUAAAUUAGCUGUGCAUGAAUUAUGAACGAGCUAAUAAUUCACGUAACAUUCAAGAUAAAAAUGACCCAAUAUCGUGUCACAGAAAUGCCAAAACUCAACCAUGAAAAUACUUACCAGCCACAAAGUCAAAUAAGUAAAAGAAACACUUAAUUACAGCAACAAACUCCCGAAUGUAGCUACAAUGUACCUAGUACAAACAAAGUAGCCAAAAACCAUAAAAGUUGUUUUGACCAGCAACAAUUUUUUUUUAACUAAUUCAGAGUAUUAAUUUACCAUUUAUUCAAUUCAUGAUAGUGAAGGAUUAGUAUUCAUAUAACUGAUGUUGGGGUAAAAGGAGAAAGAAAAUUUAUCCUAUUUUGCCUCUCGUUUACUUCUGGGACCAAAACUUGAUUCACUUUUCAAAGGAGUUUGGUUUUGUUAACAAAUAUAGCAACAUUGAAGUAUCCAAUAUCCAUAAUAUGUCGUUUUUAAAUUUCUGUAGAAUUACGUUGAAAAAUGUAAAUAAAUAUCUAAAAAUAUCAUAGAUUUUAUUUAGGUUAAGAAAUUUUAAUUUCAUAAGAAAAUAAAGGUUAAGGAAUUCUUGAGAGUUCUUUAGAUAAGGAUGAGACUAAAAAUAUCUAGAAUAGUUAGAAUUUUAGAGAAAUCUUUUGGCUUGGGCUCCAAGAAUUUCAUGACUAUAAAUAGAAGGUGUGAUCCUUAUUUGUGAACGAAGGAAGCCAAGAAAAGCAAAGCAAAGCGAGCAAACAAAGUAAGCAAAUUAAGCAAAGAGAGGAAGAGAGUGAGUAAGAAACUUUGCAUGCUUGGAUGCACUUAGCCUUCUGGCAAUUUGUCCCAACGUCUAUGUCUUUGUGUCCCAACAUCUAUGUCUUUUCAAUACGUCGACUUAUUCUUCCAUGGCUUUUCUCCGUUGGAUAUUUUGUGACGCUUCUUCAUAUGUUGUUGGUUGUCCAAACGUUGCAUUUACAUACCUAGAAUUUGGUAUUCUUUGUUUGGUUUAUCUUUGUAACUAUGUUUUUUAUUAUGUACUCCACUUUGCCAAGGAUUUGUGUCCUUAAUUCUUCUUCUUUGUCUUCGCCGUUUUCUUCUUCACCUUUUGGAUUCUGUUGUAGUCUUAUCUCAUCUUUGGAUCCUUCUUCAAAAGACCUCUCAUCGUUAGGUGUCUUUUCUGAUUCAAGUGCCUUCUAUAAUAAUGCUUCAUUUAACUGUAUGACAUUGUUCAUCAAUGGAAUCAAUGCUCUCUGUCAUUGAGUGCCUUUGCUUAUCCAUGUAGGCGUCUUCUGCUAACAUGAUAUAGAUGAAAUCCAUUUCUCGUCCUUCCAUCAAUAGCUUGCCAUUGACUUCCAAAUCUUGGUAGACCUUGACACCAUCUGGUCCGAACAUGACAAAUUUGCCUGUUGAUGUCAAUUGUGAUAUUGGUACUAAAUUUUUCUGCAUUUCAGGCACAUAACACGUUUUCCGGUUCCACUUGAUUGGAAUUAGAACUGGGCUAUUGGCAACUUUGAGUUGUUUGCAGUUACAACAACUUUGCUUCCUUUGUACUUUGUGCUUUGCAGGUUCCUCUUUAUCUCCUGUCAUAUGGUUAGAGCAUCUCGAAUCAACAAUCCAAUCAUUUUCAUAAUUUACCUAUUCUGCAUGGAGAGCUAACACUUAAUUCUCCAUUGCAUUGGAUGUCGAUUGGGGGCUGGGAUUUGUUGUUGCACAACAUGCUUCUGCAUCCCAUUCUUCUUCACUAAUGGACUGCAUUGCUUUCUGCUAUCUUCUUCUUUCAACGACUUUCUCUAGCAUAGUGACCUAUCUUUCCACAGUUGUAGCAUUCACCCUUCUUUCUAUGGCCAUGUAGACGAUCAUUUUUACUAGCUCCCCCACUCGAGAGCCCUUUGGAGUCUCUUCAACUCCUUUUGAGGCUCUACUUUCUUUUGAAAAUUUGAAUGACCUUUUCUUUGCCCACUAAAAGAGAGUUUCUUCAUUGUUGCUCUUUAUUGUGACCGCUGACAUUUGCUUAGCCAAUACUUCAUGACCAGCAAGCAUAUUUUCUAGGUCAAUCAAGAAGGUUGGACUGCCCAACCUUGAAUAGUAGAAUUAAAACUUCUGUAUUCUAGUUUAAGACCAUGAAUAAUAAUUCUUCUCAUUCUUGAUCCCGUAAGAGCUGAGGUAAGAUCUAAUUCAGAGAUUUCACGGUAGAGUUUUUACCUUGGUGAAAUAUUGGUUGAUAGUCCUCUCCCUUUGAGAGAUUGAUAGGAGCUUGUUUUCUAAAAACUGCAAUCUUGCAUUAUUCUUCUCUGUGAAAAGUGAGGCAAACAUGUCCCAUGGCUUCUUUGGUGCUCCAUAAUACUAAUGUGCUCCAACACUUCUUCAUCAACCGUUUUUAAUUGCUAACAUGGCCUUACCUACCUUGAUAUUCCAUUUUUUCAAAGCAACAACAUUCUUAGGUGGAUUUACUUCAGUGCCUUCUACAACAUCCUACAAGUCUUGUCCUUGUAGGUAUGACUUCAUGCAUGUGGACCAUGUUUUGUAAUUCUAAGUGCUAAGCUUCUUGAUUCCUCCAACAACUUGAAGGUCUCCCAUCAUCAUGUAAUGAUGAAUCCACUCCACGAUUAGUUGUGUGUCCCAGGCAACAAGCUUCACAGUCCCAAAGUGUGUACUUGAUUUUCAAGAGCUUCAACACUACAGGCUAAGCUAGCUUGCCUCUAAUACCACUUGUUGAAGAAAUUGGCACAAAAGAAAGAUAUGCUCACUUGGAAGAAAGAAAGUUUUAUUAAGAAAAUUUACAAAUGAUGAACACUUUUGAGAACACUCACUCACUUUCACUCAAAGUUUCUUACUAACUCUCUUUCUCUCUUCCUCUCUUCCUCUCUUUGCUUACUUUGCUUCGUUUGGUUCACAAACGAGGAUCACACCUCCUAUUUAUAGGCAUCAAUUCCUUGGAGCCCAAGCCAAGGAUUUCUCUAGAAUUCUAACCAUUGCAAAUAUUCUUAGUCAUCUUUAUCUAAAGAAACUCUCUAGAAUUCCUUAACCUAAAUAAAAUCUAGGAUAUUUCUAGAUUUUUUUCUUUUAGUUAUCUAUUUACAUCUUUCAACAUAAUUUUAGAGAAAUCUAAUUUACAUACUAAUGACAUAUUAUGGACACUUCAAGACUCUUCUAGACUAGUUAGUGUUGCUAGAUAUUUUAACAUGUGAUCCUCAUUUGUGAACCAAGCAAAGUAAACAAAGAGAGGAAGAAAGAAAGAGAGUAUGUGAGAAACUUUGGGUGAAAAUGAUUAAGUGUUUUGAUAGGGAAAGAGUGCUCUCUCCAAAAGUGUCAAUCCUUUGUAAAUUUUCUUAAUAAAAGUUUCCUUUCUUCCAAGUGAGUGUCUCUUUCUUUUGUGCCAAUUUCUUCACUAGGUUUUUCCUUCCAUCCUAAACCCUAGAAGGCCUUUUGAGCUUCGAGUUGAAAUGAAUCUUAUAAUGUGCUUUAUCAGGACCAAUAAUAAUAAUCAUAAUAAAGAAGCAGGAAAUCAGGCUUUCUAAACCCCGAGUCCUAAUUUUUCUUCUCUUUUGGGCCAUAUUAUUACUUCCAUGAGUUGGAAAUGUUUAUUUCAUAUUUAGAAAUCUAGAGCAGUUUUUUCUUCUUUUCGUGCCUUUUAUGCCCUCCUUUUUGUAGGGAUCUAAGCUUCAACCAUUUAAAUGGUGACAUUCCUGAGACAUUUCAGAAUCUGAUGAAGAGAAAGAUAGACUUCAUGUAAGUAGAUAAUUGGAGACUGUCACUUUGGUUUCAGUGUAUUAUUUGUACACCUCCAUCAACAACUAAUUAUCAGAACAUACUUGAUACAGGUUUCUGACAAACAACUCAUUGAGUGGUGAAGUGCCCGGUUGGAUCUUGAGUAGCAAAAAGAACAUGUAAGUAUACUGUAUAACCAUGCAUUGAUUCCAAUGGGCUGUGAAGAAUUUUGAACCUAUAGUAUCAUGAUCUUUUCAAACCCUUAUUUAUUUAUUUAUUUUUGCAUUGAUCUGAUGUAAAAAUGCUUGGAAAUUUGAAUUUUUUGUUUUGCACUAUACAUUAAUAUUUAUGAUAUAAAUGUUGGGUUGUUGCAGAGAUUUGUCUUACAACAAUUUUUCAGGGUCUACUCUUGCUAGUUGCCAACAAUCACCUGUGUAAGCUUCUACACUCUUUUUUUUAUAAAAGGAAACAUAACUUUUCAUUGAUAAAAUAAAAAGAGACUAAUGCUCAAAGAUACAAUAACCUUCAAGAAGAUAGAUAAAUUACUCCAAAGAGAGCUAGAAAAAAAGUUACUAACAUUUCCUAUUCUGGAGAAGCUGAUGUUUGAAUGCUUUUUGUUUUCCUUUUUUUUCUACUACAGGAACUUGAUUGCAAGUUAUCCACCGGCCACAAAUCAUCAGUAAGAAAUGAAGAUAGUUUUGCUCUCCCUUUCUUCAUCGUGUGUCGAACUUGAUUGAAAUGACAUGAUCAAAUUUUCUUACAUGCAGAGUUCCUUGGUGCCUCAAGAAAGACCUUCCAUGCUCAGGAAAAGCUGAAUGUAAGUAGAUCAAUAUCUAGAUUUUAUGGUCUGUUAUGGAAUUGAACUCACCUGUUUAAUGAUUUUAUGGUUUCUAGGGACUUGUUCCAAUAUAAAAAUUUGUGGAUAAAAAGAAUUGAAUUUGUAUUUUCAAAUGUUAAUUUUAUUUUGUAGCAACGAAUUGAAUUUUAGACUAGUUUUAUGAUUUUACUACUGAAAACCAGUUUAUUGAAACAUGUUACUGAUGAGUUGUAUUUGGUAGUAACCAUCUAUGAAAUGUUUAUUUAUGUACACUUUUAUCUGUAACUUUAGUAGUUUAGUUUAUAAUUUUUAAAAGUUUAAAAAGAGGGUAAAUAGUAAAGCAAGAAUAGGGGGUUAACAGGUUUUGAAAACAAGAUUGAGUUGAGAACAAUUUUCAGAAUCAUACUUAACCAAACUUUGGGAAAAAGAAAGCUUAGUUAAUUGUUAUGUCAUGGAUGGUUGUUUGAGUAUUUGGUUAUAAAUUGUGCUCAUUACAACUGCAGAUCAUUCCUUAUUUAUUAAUUGUGGAGGAACUAGAGUGACGGCUGAUGGGCAUGAUUAUGAAGAGGACUUAACUACAGAAGGCAAGUCAAAUUUCUUUUCUGUUUCAGAAAAAUGGGCUUAUAGCAGUACAGGAGUUUUUCUGGGUGAUGAAAAUGCUGACUAUUUAGCUACAAAUAAGUUCGGGCUGAAUGUGAGUGGUCCACGCUAUUAUCAAAAUGCCCGACUUUCCCCUCUCUCCCUAAAAUAUUAUGGCCUUUGCUUGCGAAGCGGAAGCUACAAUGUGAAGCUCCACUUUGCUGAAAUUAUGUACUCGAAUGAUCAAACUUUUAGCAGCCUGGGAAAGCGUAUAUUUGAUAUCUCAAUUCAAGUGAGUAUGCAGUCAGUUUAUGACACUACAAUACAUUAUAGAGUCUACUAGUGUAUGUGUUUCAUUUAUUCGAUGAACUAGUUGUUUUCCAAACUUCUAGAUUUAGCUUAGAUAUGAAUGAUCAUGGAAUAAGAAUUUCAGUUGUUCAUUGGCUGGGCUACAUCUACAGGGAAAACUAGUGAAGAAGGAUUUCAAUAUUGUGGAUGCAGCUGGGGGAGUUGGUAAGAACUUCACAGUGGAAGAUAAAAAUGUUCUUGUCAAUGGCAGUACCCUUGAGAUUAAUCUAUAUUGGGCUGGUAAAGGAACCACAGCAGUGCCAGACAGAGGAGUUUAUGGUCCCCUUAUUUCUGCUAUCACAGUUACACCAAGUAAGUUCUUUCUUGCACUUUUAAAUGGUCUUUCCCCCCUUUUUGGAUUUUAUGUACAAUUUCUUCCAAUUGAAAUCAAUGAUUAUUUUUGCUAGACUUUAAAAUCAAUGAGGGAGGACUAUCAUCUGGAGCACUUGCCGGCAUCAUAGUUUCUUCAUUUUUAGUAGUCAUCAUAUUGGUCCUAGUAUUUCUUUGGAUGACAGGUUACAUAUGUAAGAAGGAAGACCUAGCUAAUGGUAACGUAGUUUACUGUUUAAACAUAUUGGUAGUAUAUAUUUCUUUCAACUAAGGCAUUAAAACAAAUUUCUUAUUUUUCUCUUGCUAUAGAACUUUCUGGCAUAGAUUUACAAACGGGUCAUUUUACCUUGAAACAAAUUAAAGCUGCCACCAACAAUUUUGAUCCUAAAAGUAAAAUAGGCGAAGGUGGAUUUGGGCCUGUCUACAAGGUAACUGAAUGCAUUUUUGUUCUUUUGUAUGUGAGGGGAUAAUGUAGCAAAUUUUGUUCCAACCUGAAACUCUUAUGAACUUGAGACUAUCUUCUUUGGUCAAGGGUAGGGUGUAUUAUCAGAUGGUGCUUUGAUUGCCGUGAAGCAACUCUCCUCGAAAUCGAAGCAAGGGAGCCGUGAGUUUGUUACUGAGAUUGGCAUGAUAUCUGCAUUGCAACACCCAAACCUUGUUAAGCUCUAUGGCUGCUGCGUUGAGGGAAACCAAUUGUUGCUUGUAUAUGAAUAUAUGGAAAACAAUAGUCUUGCUCGUGCACUUUUCGGUAAUUUCAUGAAUGGCAUCUUUGGUUUAGUGAAUUUCAUCAUUUAGAUUGGUGUGGCCAACUAAAUCUCGGCUCACUUGCUUCUUAUUGACUCAAGGUCGAGAGGAACAGCGGCUACACCUUGACUGGCGAACAAGGAAGAAGAUAUGCUUGGAGAUAGCUAGGGGAUUAGCUUACCUUCAUGAAGAAUCAAGGUUGAAAAUUGUUCAUAGAGACAUAAAGGCCACAAAUGUGCUGCUCGAUAAAGAUCUUAACGCUAAGAUUUCUGAUUUUGGUUUGGCUAAGCUUGAUGAAGAGGAAAACACCCACAUCAGUACACGAAUUGCUGGAACCAUGUACUUUUUCUCUCUUUUUGUUCAUGUGCGUGCAUGCAUAAACUUACAUACGUCUGUAACUCCUGAGCAUGCAUGUUUAUAACAAAACAUCUUAUGGUCAAUUGAAGUGUCCAGAUCACAUGCAUUUAAACUGCAGGGUCUUGUUAGUUGUUUUUGUUUAAAAUGAUUUAUUUUAGGGUCACUUGAUCAAAAAUUUUGUUCACUGAGAGUCAGAAUUCUAUUUGCACUAGACCUAGUUAACAUCAUUAAACAUUCAAUAAUCAAUUCAACAGGUUUGUUGGAGGACACUGUUAAGCAUUUUUGUUUUGCUUCUUGGUAAUUUUCAGUGGUUAUAUGGCACCUGAGUAUGCAAUGAGAGGAUACUUGACCGACAAGGCAGAUGUUUACAGCUUUGGAAUAGUUGCCUUAGAGAUAGUUAGCGGGAAAAGUAACACAAAUUACAGGCCGAAAGAAGAGUUUGUUUAUCUUCUUGAUUGGGUAUUUGCUACUCACUACUUAUCAUAUCUUUCUUUUCACAUUGUUUUAAUGUUCUGAAUUUUCGCUUGGAUGUUUUGGUGAAAAAAUGCUGAUUUGCUUUUGGAAAGUUGGAUAAUAAAGAAUUCACCUUGGUACAAGUAUUUAUUGCAUUCCUUGUAUGUCUCAAUUCUCAUUACACUAUAAAUGGAGAGACAAAGAAGUUCUGGUAGAAGUAUGUUUAGAGAUGAUUUUUUAGACCUGUUGAAGUGAGAGGGCAUGAGAUGAGAAACUAACUGUUUUGUGUUUGGUACUUGAAGGCCUAUGUAUUGGAAGAGCAAGGUAAUCUUCUAGAACUAGCAGAUCCAGAUCUUGGUUCAAAUUACUCAUCAGAGGAAGCAAUGAGGAUGCUGAACGUAGCUCUCUUAUGCACCAACCCAUCUCCGACUCUCAGACCAACCAUGUCUUCUGUGGUGAGUAUGCUUGAAGGUAAGAUUGCAGUCCAAGCACCGAUCAUCAAGCGCACUUCUUCCGGCCAAGAUCCAAGGUUUAGAGCCUUCGAGAAGCUCUCACACGACAGUCGAUCGCAGAUUUCAAGCUCAACCGUUUCUCUAGAUGCUGAGCCUCAAAAAAGCAUGUUAAUGGAUGGGCCAUGUCCCGAUUCUUCAGUGACUAUUGACACCAAUGGGAAUAAUCACUACCAUUCUGCAUCGAGUGAUCCCCUUGAGAAUCAUCGUCGUGUGGAUAACUUGAAGGAUUCAGCUAAUUAAUUCAACCAAAAGAAAUUGUUAUUUGCUUAUUUUUUGCAGGCUAUGUGUUAAUUGAAGUGACUUAUGAUUCUUUGUACAAAGGUAAGAUAAUGCUCUCCGGAAUUUGUUCUUUUUGGCAACACACUUGUGUGCAUUCUGCAGCAUACCAUGUUGAACUUCAGCCGUCUCUUGGUAGAACAAAUGUACUGUAAACAAAUUAAAUUAUAUUGCAAAAUUUGAUCAUUGUAAGAUGUAUGUAUCUAUAUGUAUGUAUAUAUAUAUCAUAUUUCACUACAUGUGAGAAUUCUCAUUAACUAUCUAUUGUUGGUCUUCACCCAAGAGUACUUUGCAUUGAAUCUUAAGAAUUGACUUCUGCCUAAAUUUUAACACUGCUGAUUUAUAUUUUAAAUUUUGCAUCAAUUUAUGUACUUUCAACCUUGUCACAAUUUAGUUACUAUUUUGAUUAAUCUUGUUAAAUUUAAUUGUUAAUUUUGAUUAUUGUUACUACUUUGGUUGGCUAAUUUUAUUUAAAAUACAAAAUUUAACAAAAAAAUAUUAUUUUCAUAUAAUUAUAAUUAAAUAAUAAACCACGCCACAUGCAAAACAAGGUGGCACGCCCUCCAUCUAGUCGUAGGAAGUGGCAUUUGGGGCAGGGUGUGACACUUAUAUAAUAAGUUGUUGGCCUAAUAUGCAUAAGUGAUCCAACAUGCAAAAUAGCAUGUCACCAUAUAAAUGUAGAAAGCUUUAACUCUCGUAAGCACCAUGGUUUAGCAAUUAAUUGCAAACAUUUUAUAGUUAAUGUAAGAAUACGAGCUACAAGAUGUUCAAUAGUACUUAUCCCAAUGGACAUACAAUAGUUAUCAAAAGCUUAUAAUGUAAAUUCACCAGAAUUAUCAAGUCGAAUAUUUUUAAUUGUAUAAUUAGAAAACUAUGCUCUUAACUUAAUUGUUUGAGCAAGUAAUAUUGCAAAUGCAAGAUUUUGACUUGAUAAUAAGUACACAUGCGACCAUCCAUUGUGUCUAUUAAUACCAUGAAAUACUUGAAUGAUCUACUUGGUGGGCUAAUAAGAUCACAUAUGUCACCAUGAAUUUGUUUUAGAAAUAUAAUUCAAUUCCCACUUAGCGGAUGAUAGUAUAAUUAUUAGUUUUCCUUGAAAGCAAGUAUCACGUAAUAAUUAAUUAUGUUGAAGAAUCCGCUGGCUCUCUAAUGGAUGUCUAUGUGAACUUUUCAAUAAUUAUUCUCAUCAUUAGAUCCAGGAUGAUUCAAUAUAUGAUGCCAAAUUGAAAGUAUAUCUAGAUUUAUGAACUUUAGGUUCAUUGUUGGAUAUGCAACACAUAUGUCUUAAUUAUUCAUAUAAGAAUAUAGUAUAAUUCAAAGAUAAAACAAACAACUUUUCUAAUACAAAGAUAUGUUAUUUCAUUAUUUCAUCUAGUCUCAAUAUGAUAACAAUUGCAACGUAUAUCUUUAAAGCUUAGUAUAUUUUUUUUAUUAACUAGAGACAAAUGCAUUAUCAAUUGUGAAUUUUGUUUCUCUAGACAAAAUAAUAUUUUUUUUUUCAAAACUUGAUAUUGUAUUGUUUUUGCUUCUAGUAUUGUCAGUUAAAAAAGAAAAUUUUACUUGUCAAUAUUGUAUACGUAUUUUCACUCUUUGUCAGACAUAUAAUAUUAUUUGUUUGCUUUUUUUAGUUAUUUAACAUAAGAAAAUUAUUCAUGUUUUCUCAUUAAACAAAAUAAUUACAACGAGAGAAACAAAACUUAGAAUAUAUAUAUAUAAUAUAAUAUAAAGAGAUAAAAAUCAUUAUUAUAUAAUCACAAAAGAAACACUUGUUAUUUCUCAAAUAUGUCAAUCUUCUCUUCGUAAGAUUCAAAACUUUACCACAUCCAAAUUUAUUCGGUUGGAUGAGCCAAAUAUAUUAUUAAUAUGAUAUACAAAAUUUGCUUCCACAUUUUUCUCUUCUUACAGAGAUUUUCUUAUGAGAUAUAUAGUUAUUUCCUGUGGUUCUUUUCAAGUUUGGAUGAUUAUAAUAACCAAUCAUAAAAAGUAAUUAUUUCUUCAUUUAUUACUAUUAUAACCUCAAUUACAAUAGUCAAAUUCACAACAUUCAUUUCAGAAAAUGAAAUUGUUCUAGUUGGUCAAUAUUUAUAAUUUUCAUCCACUAUUUAAUAAAUGAGAAAAACUCAAAUUUUCUUCCAUUUUUCCAAAUUUGAUGGAUUUCUCUCCAAUCUUUUCUCCUCUUACAAAAACCACAAAAUCCCACUGUUUAUAGAACUCGUGCUGGCUAGUAAGACAUUAAAUUUGUACAAAUAUGUGACAUAUGGGAUAACACGUACGAAUACGUAUGAUCCUAGAUGAGAUGGACAUCCAUUUAUUCUAAAUAUUUAUGACAUUACACAUAUUUUUCAAAAUUUUAUUAUAAAUAUAUAUAAUUUAGUAUUUUAAAGAUCAUUUUCGAUUUUGUAAUUUUUUGAGAAAAAAAAAGAAUUUAGAAUUUCAAUAAUAUAUAUGUAAUGAGCAACAAGCUUUCUUUUUAAAGAGUGAAUAAGCCCUAUCAAAACCCUAGGCUUUGUUUCGUCUUCUCCCAUGGCGACUCACCUCUUUUCUCGCUCUCUCCCCAAAACCCUAAUCUGGACGUCUACGUUCUCUCGUUCCUUUCUCACUGCCACCGGAGCCGCCAUCUCCGCCUCUUCCCCUUCCUCUUCCUCCCUUAUCCGCCGCCUCCGUCCCCUCGCUGCUAUACUCGCCGCUGAUUUCAGAUGUCACUCUGCGGCUCCCAGCCUGAGAGACUUCUCUACCCGUGCCACUUCUUCGUCUCUCAAUGAUCCCAAUCCUAACUGGUCUAAUCGCCCACCCAAGGAGACCAUUUUGCUUGAUGGCUGUGAUUUUGAACACUGGCUCGUUGUCAUGGAGAAGCCUGAUGAACAACUCACCAGGGAUGAGAUUAUCGACAGCUAUAUCAAAACGCUUGCCAUGGUUGUCGGAAGGUUAAUUCUUGUUUUCGUCGAUUGUAUUGAAUCUCUCUGUCUUUCCUCCCACGUUUGGCUACUCUUCUGAUGAUUGGACUUAAUCGUGUCUCUUUUGUUAUUUUAGUCUUUCAUUUUUUUAAUUGCUGCUGAAGAAAAAUAUGAAGAGAAGAAAUUUGGGUUUUGUGUUAUCUACGGAAACAUUUCCACAUGGGAAAUUUCUUAGUUUUUCUCCAAUGGUUGAGACAUUUCUCACGCGACUUAAAUAUAUGCGAGGAUUCUGGCAUGUACUAUUUUCUGUAUCCGUUCCUUCUCUAAAGGAUAAUCAUGAUGUUUAUCGAUCUGCGAUAAAUAGUAUUUGUAGUCGUUCGGGUCCUUGAUUUUUACUGCAUUUUCUUAUUUGGUUUCUUAUUCCUACAGUGAGGAAGAAGCUAGAAUGAAGAUAUACUCUGUUUCAACCAGAUGCUACUUUGCAUUUGGGUGCCUUGUUUCUGAAGAGCUUUCUUACAAAAUCAAAGGUAAACUUUUUCGUCUUGUUUUCUGUUUCGUUGUGUUAGUCUUGGUUAUUUCUUUAUUUUGUAUUGAUCAUACGGAGUUGUACCUGUUUCUCCUCAGAGCUGCCUAAGGUUCGUUGGGUCCUUCCUGAUUCAUAUUUGGACGUUAAGAAUAAAGAUUAUGGAGGUAAUUCCUUAUCUCAUUAAGUAUGCAAGUGAUCAUUUUACCUCUUUCAGUGUCUACUUUUACUGUUUCUAUCGCAUACUCACCCUUUAGUUCUAAAUGAAUAUUCCUCGUCUGGAGGCAGAUCGCGUCCAGAAUAACACGUUUUUAUGCUAAAAUGUUAACUAGACUUGUUCUCUCUCUCUCUCUCUCCCCCCUCUUUUUUUGUUUACUUUUUUUAAGAAGUUUAUUUAAAUUUAAAGCUGCUAGAAACUAUAAUUUUUUUUAUGUCAUAAGAUUUUAUACAUGAUACGUUGUUCCCAGAAAAGAAGUUAAAAUAUGUCAUUCUAAGUUAGUAAGUAGCUUUUCUCUUUACAAAAAUGAAGACUAUAGAGGAGAUAGGAUGUUGUUAGAUACUUGCUUGAAGAGUUGAAGCUCUUGUACGAUAGUUUAGGAUCCUGACCCAUUCAGGUCAUAUUCUUAAGAUGUUAGAAAACUAAAAAAAUUGUCUGAUUGUAAUGCACUCUUGAGCAGAUUGUCGUAUUUCUUGCAAACAAUUAGGGGUCAAUUUAGAAGCCAGUAUCUUUUUUGUUGUAGCGUCUCCCUUACUUGUUGGGAAACUCAGCAAAUAGUAUUGUGCUGGUUCACAAACUGUCAUCUGAUUUUCUGUGUAUGUUUUUCCGUUUGGCAGGGGAGCCUUUUAUAGAUGGACAAGCUGUUCCGUAUGACCCAAAGUACCACGAGGAAUGGAUUAGAAACAAUGCUAGAGCAAAUGAGAGGAAUAAGCGCAAUGAUAGGCCCCGCAAUACUGAUAGGUCAAGAAACUUUGAGAGGAGGAGGGAAAACAUGCAAAAUAGAGAUUUUCCAAAUCCUGCAACUGGACCUAACAUGAGUGCACCAGCUCCAGGUGGUAUGCCUCCCAACAACUUUAAUCCCAGCAUGCCUCCUCACAACCGCCAAGGCGAUUAUCCAGGAGGACCACCACCUCCGAACAAUUUUAACAGACCACCACCGCCACCACCGCACAACUACAGCGGACCACCACCACCACCACCACACAACUUCAGCGGACCACCACCACCACCACCACACAACUUCAGCGGACCACCACCACCACCACCGCACAACUUCAACGGACCACCACCACCACCACCGCACAACUUCAACGGACCACCACCACCACCGUACAACUUCAACGGGCCACCACCUCCUCCACCAAACAACUUCAACGGACCACCACCUCCUCCACCGAACAACUUCAACGGACCACCACCACGCAACUAUGCUUCAGCAUCACCAAAUCACGGAGGAGGAGGAGGAGGAGCACCCCACAACUAUGGGGGGCCACAGGAAAACAACUAUUGGGGAGCACAGCAGCCAAACAACUAUGGUGGACCUUCAAACUCUGGCCGGGGACCUGCAUAGAACAACUACUAUGAAGGGGUAAAAAAAGGCUAAUGGUGGUGGAUGGUCUAAUAUGUGCAUAAAAAUCAAGAAGAAUAGUCUAGGCGGUCAGGGUAGUCUAACGGUGGUGGCUGGUCACUGCAUUUUCGUUUUGGUGCUACAAACGAUGAGUUUAAUUUUGCUUUAUGAGUCGGCAUUUGUUUAAAAUCUGUUUAAGUCUUGUGUACAAUUUAAUAUAUUCAUGAGAUGGUGUAUCGUUUAUAAUGUUGUCUUUGUUCUGAAGUUGGCAAUGAUAUUGUCUCUUUUGGCCAUAUCUCUUUUAAGCUUGCAACAUACAUGUGUAUUUAAUGUAUGUGUAGUUAAAAUAAAGUCAGAGAUGUAAAAUUAUUUAAUAAUUUUAAAAUGGAUCAAAAUUAUAAGUAAAUUCAUACCAAGAGAAAGGAAGGAAAGACAAAAGAAAAAUAGAUCCUCCUUAUAUUUAUGAAAAUUUAUAUUAGGAAUGAAUUUAAUUUUACGUUUUAAAAAUAUAAUAAUAAAUAUUUAAUUAUUAUAUUAGCAAAAGCAAAUCUUUAAACCCUUAAACCCUUUCAAAACCCUUUUUCUUUUUUCAUUUUUUGUCUUUUUUGUUUCAACCUUCUCCCAUGGCGACUCAGCUCUUCUCUUUGUUUUCACGUUCCUUUCUCACUCCACCGGAGUCCCCCAUCUCCGUCUCUUCUCACUCCUCUUCCUCCCUUCUCCGCCGCCUCCCUCCCCUCGCUGCUAUACUCACCGCUGAUUUCCCGUCACUCUGCUGCACCGAGCGUGAGGAACUUCUCUACCCGUUCCACUUCUUCGUCUAUCAAAGAUCCCAAUCCUAACUGGUCUAAUCGACCACUCAUGGAGACCAUAUUGCUUGAUGGCUGUGAUUUUGAACACUGGCUCGUUGUCAUGGAGAACAACUCACGAGGGAUGAGAUUAUCGACAGCUAUAUAAAAACGCUUGCCAUUGUUGUCUGAAGGUAAAUUCUCAUUUUCGUAUAUUGUAUUGAAUCUCUCUCUCUCUCUUUCCUCCCAACGUUGGGCUAUCCUGAAUCUGAUGAUUGCAUUUAUUCGUGUCUCUUCUGUGUCUUUUUUUCUUCGUUGUGUUGUUCUUGGCUAUGUCUUUGUUUUGUAUUGAUGAUAUGAAGCUGUACCUUUUCCUCUUCAGAGCUGCCUAAGGUUCGUUGGGUCUUACCUGAUUCAUACUUGGACGUUAAGAAUAAAGAUUACGGAGGUUAUUCCUGACCCCAUUAAGUAUGCAAAUAAUCAUUUUAUCUCUUUCGGUGUCUAAUUUUACAGUCCUCACUCUUUAGUUUUGAAAAGAGGUCAGUCGUUCUGAAGAAGGCUUUAUUUCAAUUUAAAGCUACUAGAAGUUAAAAUUUUCAUAAUAUCAUAUGUCUUGUUCAUUAUACAUUUUUCUCAGAAAAGAAGUUUGAAAUACGUCAUUCAAAGAUAGUAAGUAGCUUUUCUCUUUACAAAAAUGUAGACUAUUGAGGGGAUAGAAUGUUAGCUACUUACUUGAAAAGUUGAAGCUCUUGUAUUGUAUGAUGGUUGAGGAUCCUGACUCAUUCAGGUCACAUUCCUAAGAUGAUAGAAAGUUUAAAAACUUAUCUAAGAUUGCAAUGCACUCUUGAGCAGACUGUCAAUGCACUCUUAAUUUGAAAGCCAGUAUCUUUUUGUUGUAGUGUCUCCCUUGUUUUGGUUCACUUAAGGCUACAACUAUUUUACCUUAUUUUGGUGUUGUACAGAACUGUUAUCUGACUUUCCGUGUAUUUUUUCCCUUUGGCAGGGGGGCCUUUUAUAAACGGACAAGCUGCUCCAUAUGACUCGAAGUACCACGAAGAAUGGAUUAGAAACAAUGCUAAAGCAAAUAGUAGGCGUGAUGUUAAUGGUAGGCGCAAUUUCGAUAGGUCAAGAAACUUUGAGAAGAGGGAAAACAUGCAGAAUGGAGAAUUUCCAAAUAAUGUUUCAGCGAGUCAACCUACUGGACCGAAAUUGAGUCCACCAGCUCCAAGUAGUACACCCCUCCCAACAACUUUAGUCCUAGCAUGCCUCCUCACAACCAUGCUGGAAUACCCCAAGGCAACUAUCCGGGAGGAUAUCCGAACAAUUUUAACAGACCACUGCCUCCGCCACCACCAUACAACUUCAACAGCCCACCACCACCUCCUCACAACUUUAACAGGCCACCACCGCAAAACAACUUUAACGGACCACCACCACCAUCAAACCCUGGGGGAGCACCGCCAAAGCAACUAUUGGGGUGCACCACAGCCAAACUUCAGCAGGCCGCCUGCACAGAACAACUGUGGAGGGAUGCAACCUAACGCUGGUGGAUGGUCUAAUAAUG